UUUUUUCUUUUUUCCUGAUUUUUUUUAUCAUAUACAAAAACUAAUGUUUAUCGUAUGUAAUACUAAUCCAUUAUAUUUUGUUUCCAUGGGAUGAAGGCUCUAUAAGUUGAGUUGGACUCUUUUAUGAUUGGCUUUAAUGUUUCAUGAUUAGAUUUAUUCUUUGAGUGUUGGCUGAGAGUGGGAUCAAAUCAUUCCUCAAGCACUUUGGAAGCUUUUUUGAACACGAACUUCAGUAACAUUAAUGGCUCCUUCGUCUGGAGGUUAUUUCUUAUGGAUGAAAAUUGUCAAUGGCAUGAGCAAAGUCGGAAAAAUGGAGGGGUACUUAAAAGAGAGAGUUAAGCUUCAGAAAUUUGAGGCUGUGGAUAUGGAAUUUUUGGGUGAAAUGAGAAUUUACAAAGAGAGUGAGCUGAGUGGGUAUUUGAAGGAGAAAUAAGACAGAGGAGAAAUCAGCAAGAAAAGAAUCAGGCGAGCUUUGGCGGAGUAUCCGAAGCCAAUCUCCCCCUGCAGGCAACUCUACCUACUCUCCCAGAACAGUCGAGAACAAGUACUCGCAAGAAAAGAAGAUAACAAGGAAUUGAUAAUAAAUCAUGAUAGAUUGGGAAAAAGUGGCAAUCCCUUUCAAAUGGAGAAAAAAAAGAGUUCUUAGAGAAGUCUAAAGAAUGCCCUCAUGAAUAUCUAAAACAAAAGGGUCGAAACUCAAAAAAAUGCAUCAAAGUCGUAUCUUCACACGCGUUGUUCACUUGAUCGGGUGUAUAAACUACUUCAACACUUGCAACCUAAUCAAAAGGCGGCCAUACAAGAAAUAGGGUUUGGAGGUAUUUUAGGAUUGCGAUGUACUAAACUUGAUCAUAAUUUAUGUCAUUGGUUGGUAGAGAAUUUUGACACUCUUUCAUGAAACAACAUGUGUCACUCUAUCCCAAUACUGAUGGUCAAACAUUAAUUUUUCCAUAUCUUGUCCAAUGUUUGUUCGAUUGAGCUUGUGUA